rnacentral:rRNA from 1 species
GAUGAACGCUGGCGGCGUGCCUAAUACAUGCAAGUCGAGCGAACAGAUAAGGAGCUUGCUCCUUUGACGUUAGCGGCGGACGGGUGAGUAACACGUGGGUAACCUACCUAUAAGACUGGGAUAACUUCGGGAAACCGGAGCUAAUACCGGAUAACAUUUGGAACCGCAUGGUUCUAAAGUGAAAGAUGGUUUUGCUAUCACUUAUAGAUGGACCCGCGCCGUAUUAGCUAGUUGGUAAGGUAACGGCUUACCAAGGCGACGAUACGUAGCCGACCUGAGAGGGUGAUCGGCCACACUGGAACUGAGACACGGUCCAGACUCCUACGGGAGGCAGCAGUAGGGAAUCUUCCGCAAUGGGCGAAAGCCUGACGGAGCAACGCCGCGUGAGUGAUGAAGGGUUUCGGCUCGUAAAACUCUGUUAUUAGGGAAGAACAAAUGUGUAAGUAACUGUGCACGUCCUGACGGUACCUAAUCAGAAAGCCACGGCUAACUACGUG